UACGUAGGGUGCGAGCGUUAAUCGGAAUUACUGGGCGUAAAGCGUGCGCAGGCGGUUGUGCAAGACAGAUGUGAAAUCCCCGGGCUUAACCUGGGAACUGCAUUUGUGACUGCACGGCUAGAGUGUGUCAGAGGGGGGGUAGAAUUCCACGUGUAGCAGUGAAAUGCGUAGAUAUGUGGAGGAAUACCGAUGGCGAAGGCAGCCCCCUGGGAUAACACUGACGCCUCAUGCACGAAAGCGUGGGGGAGCAAACAGG
rnacentral:rRNA from 1 species